rnacentral:rRNA from 1 species
GGGGAAUAUUGGACAAUGGGCGAAAGCCUGAUCCAGCAAUGCCGCGUGGGUGAAGAAGGUUUUCGGAUUGUAAAGCCCUUUCGGCGGGGACGAUGAUGACGGUACCCGCAGAAGUAGCUCCGGCUAACUUCGUGCCAGCAGCCGCGGUAAUACGAAGGGGGCCAGCGCUGCUCGGAAUGACUGGGCGUAAAGGGCGCGUUGGCGGGUGGUACAGUCAGAUGUGAAAUUCCUGGGCUUAACCUGGGGGCUGCAUUUGAUACGUGCUGGCUUGAGUGUGGAAGAGGGUCGUGGAAUUCCCAGUGUAGAGGUGAAAUUCGUAGAUAUUGGGAAGAACGCCGGUGGCGAAGGCGGCGACCUGGUCCAUUACUGACGCUGAGGCGCGAAAGCGUGGGGAGCAAA